GAUGAACGCUGGCGGCGUGCUUAACACAUGCAAGUCGAACGGAAAGGCUCCUGCUUGCAGUGUUUCUCUAGUGGCGAACGGGCGAGUAACAAGUGGGUGAGCUGCCCUGCACUUCGGGAUAAGCCUUGGUAACUGGGUCUAAUACCGGAGAGGACGGUGGCUUGGAUACCAUUGUGGAAAUUUUUGCGGUGUGGGAUGAGCUGGCGGCCGAUGGGCUUGUUGGUGGGGUAAUGGCCUAGCAAGGCGUAGACGGGUCGCCGGCCUGGGAGGGUGGACAGCCACAUUAGGACUACGAGAGGGAGCAGUGGGCAACGGGGGGCAGCAGUGGGAAAUAUUGCACAAUGGGGGCGAGCCUGAUGCGACGGCGCCGCGUGGGGAAAGACGGCCUUCGGGGUGGGAACUCAUUUCGCUAGAGACGAAGCGCAAGUGACGGUACCUGGAGAAGAAGCACCGGCUAACUACGUG
rnacentral:rRNA from 1 species